rnacentral:rRNA from 1 species
AAACUGAAGAGUUUGAUCAUGGCUCAGAUUGAACGCUGGCGGCAGGCUUAACACAUGCAAGUCGAGCGGUAACAGAGAUAGCUUGCUAUCUGCUGACGAGCGGCGGACGGGUGAGUAACGCGUAGGAAACUGCCCAGUAGUGGGGGACAACAGUUGGAAACGACUGCUAAUACCGCAUACGCUCUACGGAGGAAAGGGGGCUUCGGCUCUCGCUAUUGGAUGUGCCUGCGUGAGAUUAGCUAGUUGGUGAGGUAAGAGCUCACCAAGGCGACGAUCUCUAGCUGGUCUGAGAGGAUGGUCAGCCACAUUGGGACUGAGACACUGCCCAAACUUCUACGGGAGGCUGCAGUCGAGAAUAUUUCGCAAUGGGGGAAACCCUGACGAUGCGACGCCGCGUGGGGGAUGAAUGCCUUCGGGUUGUAAACCCCUUUUCUAAGAGACGAAGAUCUGACUGUAUCUUAGGAAUAAGCUCCAGCUAACUACGUGCCAGCAGCUGCGGUAAUACGUAGGGGGCAAGCGUUGUCCGGAAUCACUGGGCGUAAAGCGUGCGCAGGCGGCUAUGCAAGUCAGGUAUGAAAUCGCUUGGCUCAACCAAGCAACUGUGCUUGAUACUGCAUAGCUUGAGUACGAGAGGGGAAAGCGGAAUGUACGGUGUAGCGGUGAAAUGCGUAGAUAUUGUACAGAACACCCAUGGCGAAGGCAGCUUUCUGGCUCGAUACUGACGCUCAGGCACGAAAGUUAGGGGAGCGAAACGGAUUAGAUACCCGUGUAGUCCUAACUGUAAACGAUGGGUACUAAGUAUAGGGGGGAUUACUCCUCUGUGCUGUAGCUAACGCGUUAAGUACCCCGCCUGAGGACUACGGCCGCAAGGUUAAAACUCAAGGUAAUUGACGGGAGGCCGCACAAGCGGUGGAGCAUGUCGCUUAAUUCGAAGCAACGCGAAGAACCUUAUCCAGGGCUUGACAUCCUUUGACAACUAUAGAAAUAUAGUGUCCCCUUCGGGGGCAAAGUGACAGGUGCUGCAUGGCUGUCGUCAGCUCGUGUCGUGAGAUGUUGGGUUAAGUCCCGCAACGAGCGCAACCCUUGUUGUUAGUUGCCAGCACGUGAUGGUGGGGACUCUAACGAGACUGCUGGUUAAAAGCCAGAGGAAGGUGGGGAUGACGUCAAGUCCGCAUGGCCUUUAUGC